GUGAAAAGUGAUGGAGGACAUCAUAAGAGGCACCCUUCCCCAUCUGGAUAGUAAGACUGUGGAGACUAUAGUUAAAGAUUUGCCCUCAUUGGGAGUAAGGGAGAUUAACAAAUUUAUGUACAUGAAAGAGGAUGACAUCAGACAUCUUAUGUCCAUAGUUGAUUGCAGAAAACUACUACAAAGAUUCAACAACAUAGAUAAUGGAGCCCAACAGAACAAUCUGCUAAGGGACUCUGCUGCGUCUGACAUGAUAACACUGACUCUUACACCAAUGUCUUCAUUAGAAGCCUCUUCAAGCACACAGUUUGCACUACCAGCUCAGCACUCUACCCCUGUGCAGCACAGCACCUCGCACCCAACUUUCCAAGUACCUUGGGACAAGACCAGACCAAGUCUAAGAACAUUACUUGAACUGGACUUGGACACUUGGACACUUCACUUUGUGUUCACAAUUUUUGUGUUCAAAUUACAACCUGAACAGGAACAACACCCCCGCACGCCUAAGAAAACCAAAAAGGCCUGCUGUAAUGGUGGAGAAUAGCCAUCCAGCACCAUCCAGAAAAUGUGCAAAACUCUGAAAAAAAUUGAUGAUAAUCACAUAUGAGGCCAAGCAACGUGCCAUCGAUGCAUCACCUGCACCUAGCAUUAACCAACUAAAGACUGAUUGGCCUUUCCUGAAGAGUUCUUUCCUUGUUCAUGAAGAGAUUUCUGAUCCAGAAUUCCAGUACACUUACAGGCAUUGAAUUAGAAGCAAGACUCGGGGAGUCCAUCACUGGAAAGGAAGAAAGGUUCUCCAUUUCUUCAAGUCUCAAUUGCUGCGCUGGAGAAAAGAGGUGAGGACAGUCCUUGCAGACAUAGAAAGAGAAUCUAGAGAUGUGGAUCCUGGCCUUGCUGCCAUUUGGUGAUAAUGGCAUUCUUCAAAGAAAAAGAAGAUUCACUUUUCCUUCUGGCUGAUCGCUGAAUCAUGCAUAACAUCACAUGUGCGGAGAUUCAGACUCCAGUGGGGUUUCUGUAUGUGAUUCUGCCUGUUAUACUGAAUCAAACACUCAAUCCUGACUGUGAGCAGGGCUGGUAUUCAGAGGAUGGAUUUAAGAUAGCAGAUCCAUCAACUCCUCAAACAGUGGUUGAUCCUGUUAUUUCUGUCUCAUCUGAUCGCCUUGUCACUUCUUACUGUGUGAAUCUGAAUCAUCAGAUCAUCUGUGAUUCUGCUGAUGGACUUCAUUACAGUCAUGAGCUCAUGUUCAGAGGUGAGAAAAACAGUAAAACACAUACAUGUGUCCCAGGGACGGAUUAUGACUUGCAAGGGCCCUGGGGCCAAUUAUCUCCAAGGCCCCCCACCCCACCAUACAAGUUUUUUUCUCCCCACGUUCUUUCUCUUAGCUGCGCAUUCGCAGUAAUAAAAAGAGAAAGUUACGAUCAUGAAUAUUCAAAGCGUUAUCACUCCACGUCAAAUGCCUGCGCUAAGAAAAGCACUUUGUACAGGGUUUACAGAAUCAAUGUAGGACUAAUACACUUUUGUGAGUCUAAUACCUACAACGAAUAA
ensembl:lncRNA